CUGAUAUUGAUUUUUCAUGCGGUAAACCAUAAUAGAACAACAGAAAGGAACUUAAAUAGUCAGUUGUCAUGAGUACUGCGAGUAAAUAUUCCCCUGAAUUCAGAGCGCGGAGGGAGAGAGAGAGAGAGAGAGAGAGUGUGUGUGUGUCGUCCAGGAGGAGCCGUGAUUGGUGCUCCAGCCGCACGCGGCGCUUUUGUUCCGGACGCCACCGAGCCGACUGCCCUCACGCAGCUUGGCCGACCUGAGUGCUUUUCUAUCAGGACCCUUUGUCCUGCAUAGCAGCCCUGUCUCUGCAGUCGAGGCAGGCCAAGCUCACGGUGUGUGUGUGUGCGUGUGUGUGUGUGUGCGCGCAGUAGAUUAGCUUGACAGCAUGCGUCCAGGAGGAUAUGUAUGGAAAGUGAACAUGGUCCAGCUGUUCUGAAAGCCCAUCCGAUGAGUCCUUCAAAGAUCUUUAAAUUCUCACACAACUGUAAAGAUUUCUCUCGCAGGUGCAGAGCUGACCCCCAUAUGCAGGAUGUCCUACUUAAAAUCGCUUAGUCCAAUCUGACCUCUUACAGGACAAUCAAUGGACUUAAAUGGCCCAGCUAAUGGAAAGUCUUGCUUUGACUUCAUCUUAGAUGCUAAAUGACAUGUCUUGUGUGUUUGUGUGUGUGUGUGUGUGUGUGUUUGUGUCUGGUGUGUUUGUGUGUGUGUGUUUGUGUCUAGUGUGUUUGUGUGUGUGUGUGUGUGUGUGUGUGUGUGUGUGUGUGUGUGUGUGUGUGUGUGUGUGUGUGUCUGUCAGUUGACCUCAGUCAAGGCAACUGGAAGAAUGAGCAACAUCCAAAUCCAUGCCAACUCCCAGAAGACGGGGGUCUGUGUCUCUUUAAGUGUCACCAAAAGCCUGAUAUUUCCAUUUCACCGCAUCUCUGUAGGAACCACGCGUUUCCCGGCCCUUAUUCUGGUUCCACACAGAGCUGUGCAGAACAUGAGAUCCAGCCUCACGGUCAGCUGUUCUGUGGAACAGGGGAACCAACAGUGAUGGACCCUGUGGAGGGCAGUGUAGUAUCUAUAUAAACUUCUCAAACCCUUUUAGUUCCAACAUUCCCGAGCGUGUGUGUAUAAGUUUGUGUGUGUGUGUGUGUGUGUGUGUGUCGCUUGACUGAGAGAAUAUUAAACUCCUGUGUAUUUUGGGCUCAGAUCUGGGUGAACCUUCUGAAAGCCAUAAUAGCGUACUAAUAACAAGUACUCUGUUACUGUAUACUAAGCACUAAUAAACAAUUAAUAAAUAAUUGAUAAUUAAUUAAC
ensembl:lncRNA